CAUGUCAAAUUUUCAAAAUACAACGCUCAAUUAAGCUAUUUUUUUCUUUUUUUGGUGCUACUCAUUUAUUUUUCCUGAAACUUUUGUUUUUCUUAGUGUUCAGUCUUAGUCGUCCUUAAAGUACAACUUAAUAAACUACAAAACACAUCAAAUUCAGUUAUAAAAAUUUGAGUAACAAAGGUAUACUAAUUAUUGUAUUGCCUGAAAGAUUGUCAUUGCUAUUAAAAGCAGUGAAGAAUUUAAGUACGCUAUUAAAAGCAGUGAAGAAUUUAAGUAUAUAUUAGUUUAUAACUUUUUUAUGCACUUUGUAUAUUUUAGUACAAUUUAUAUACUUUAAAUAAAAUACUCUUUGAAGAUUUUUUGUAAAUUACAUUUUAUUUUAAUUUAAGUCUAAACAAAAGUUACUUUAAUUAUUGCCAGGUUGUGUAUUUUUGCAGGUCAAUUAUUUAGCACAAAUCGGAGUUAAAGACAAAGGAGAUUGUAUAUUUUAUUUGCUAAGAAUAGUUUUUUAAAAUGGCCUAGUUGUAAAAUUAAACUAUGCAGGGAGAGGACAAAAAAUUUGAAUUUAGAAAAUGUUGAUUGCAUAUCCUGCUAUUGAAACUGUAAAGUCAAAUAAGCAUGGCUUAUGCAGACAUGUGAUAGAGAAAGAGGAAGAAAAAAUAAUAAUCGUGGGCACCAAAUAUCAUAAGCUGAACAUGAUUUAAUAACAGAUUUUUAAAGCAAUACAAGAUUGAAUUUAGCAGAAGACUAAACUUCUGCUUUGGAGACAAAAAAGGAAGACAGCGAAAAUGACCAGCCAAAAUAAAGAUUAAAGAGACAAAAAAUUGUGUAUAUCUUAGUGUAGAUGAUUUAUCCUCAAUUUCUUAUAAUUAAACAAAAAAUAUUAUUAAACUUUGGAAUUUACCUGUAACUCUAAACUCUUUACAGAAGUUCAAUGUUUGCUCUAAGAAGUUGAAUGAACAAAAUUUAUUAAAUGAUAAAGUUGUAUCCUUGAAAGAUAUGCUAGUACUAUUGGCACAUACGAAAGCAUUGAAGUGCAACUUGGUGAAAUACAAAACACAUUAAAUUCAAUUAUAAAAAUUUGAGUAACAAAGGUAAUUUUUUUUUAUGAUCUGUUUAGGCAUUUUGUAUGAUAUCUUAGUACAACUUAUAUACGUUAAAUAAAAUACUCUUUGAAGAUUUCUUGUAAAUGACAUUUUAUAUUAAUUUAAGUCUAAACAAAAGUUACUUUAAUUAUUGCCAGGUUGUGUAUUUUUGCAGGUCAAUUAUUUGGCACAAUUUGGAGUUAAAGACAAAGAAGAUUGUAUAUGUUAUUUACUAAGAAUUGUUUAUUAAAGUGGCAUAGCUGUAAAAUUAAACUAUACAGGGAGAGGACAAAAAAUUGGAAUAGGAAAAAUGUUGAUUGCAUAUGUUGCUUUUGAAAAUGUGAAUUCAAAUAAGCAUGGCUUAUGCAGACAUGUGAUAGAGAUAGUGGAAGAAAAAUUAAUAAUCGUGGGUACUAAAUAUCAUACGCUAAACACGAUUCAACAACAAGUAGCACAGCCAAUAUCAAAACUACUCUAUAAAUUUUAUAGUGAACUUUUUUAUUUGAAACUCAAUGUGUCAGUUUUUGGUUUAAGUUAGGUGUUUGCAAUGUGUAUAUUUAACCGAGAAAUUAUGUUAAAUAAAUAAAUUUUUAUACUUGUAUCA